AUUGAACGCUGGCGGCAUGGCUAAAACAUGCAAGUCGAACGAUCCCUUCGGGGAGAGUGGCGAAAGGGCGAGGAAUACGAUCGAAUGUACCCCGAGGUGGGGGAUAGCCUGGAGAAAUUCAGGGUAAUACCCCAUGUGCUCUACGGAGGAAAGGUUUACCGCCUUGGGAGCAGCGAUCGUCCUAUCAGGUAGUUGGUGAGGUAACGGCUCGCCAAGCCGAAGACGGGUAGCGGGUGUGAGAGCAUGACCCGCCGCAUCGGAACUGAGACACUGUCCGG
rnacentral:rRNA from 1 species